UUCUUUCUUUGUCUUUCUCUUCUUCAUUCUUCUUUCUCCUUCUCUUUCUUUUUCCCUGUUUCUUCUUCAGUUAACGAUUUCGAGAAUCAGUUCAUGAUCCUGAGUUGAUGUAAAGCUGGCAGAGAUGAGGUUAGAUGAUAGUGAUGUUGUCGUGAUUUGUUGUCGAUUCAGACUCGAAGGAGGAAUUGAGUUAGAAGUUAGGGUUUUUGUGGGUUGAGGAUGAACCGGUAGAAUGAUUUCGAGUUCUUAGGUGAUUUGAGAGAUGAAUCGAGUUGCUGUUAGAUGAAGAAAAGAAGGGUUGUGGUUGAAUUGAAGUUCUGAAAUCGUUUUGGAGAUGAUCUGAGACUUGGGGUUUCUGAAGUUGAAUUCGAGAAUUCGAUUAAGGGUGAACAAGGAGAAGUUAGAAGAUGGGUUUUGUUGUUAUUCGAUGAUUGAUGGAAGUUGUGGUAGUUUGAUGAUUGAAUCAGUGAAUUAGGGUUUGUAAAGUAAAGUCAAUGAAGAUGAAUCUGAAUGUUUGGAAGAUGGAGAGGAUGGUCUAGGGGAUUCAUUAUAAUGGGUUAGAUAUGGUUUAAGGGAUAAGGUUGUAGAACAGCAUGAAAGCAGCAGUUAGAGUUUGAGGUUGUGAAUUAGAAGUUCAAUUCGAGGAUGAUGAUGAGAUUGAGAUUAGGAAAUGAAGAGUAGAGCAGAGCAAUUAAGGGUGAUGUUGUUGUUGUAGAUGUUGUUGUUAACAGAUGGGAUUGAGGAAAAAGGUAAUCAAGGUUUAUUUGCUUAAGUUCAUUUAAUUUGAUUUAAUUGAUGAUAUCUGGAAUGGGUAUUGAAUGAAUGUUGGUUAUAAUUGGAGUGUUUUGAAUUGGUUGUAAUUGAGUUGUUUUGAGGAAGAUGGUUUGUGAAGCAGUUGGGUUUUGGUUCAUAUGAUGGAGAUAUUAUGCUUUAAGUAUAAUUGUUAGAGUUCUUAAAAUGCUUUCUUGUGGCCAUGUAUUAAGGAAUACAAGUUUGGCUGGAGGUUGAGUAUGGAUUAGAGAUUGUAAGGUUUGAAUUACAAUUGCAGGACUAGUAAUAUUAAUGGUGCUCAUGCAGGGUGAAUGUAAUUGUGUAAGUGGUGAUGGUGUUACAGUUCAUGGAGUUGCAGCCUCAUUGAAAUGGGUGUAUGAAUUGUUGUAGGUGCAAGAGAGAAUUAAGUCUGGUGUGUGUGAAAUCGGAACUUGAAAUUGGUAAUGUAAAUUGAAUUGGAAGUGAAUGUGAAUAGAUGUGACACAACUACUUGUGCAGGCAGUGUGUACAAGAUAUGGUUUUGAGUUGCAAAUAAUGUGAACUGGUGGUGAUUAUAGAGUUACAAUUGGUGUUGCUAUUAAAGCUUGAAACUGCUAGGUUGCAGGAUGUGCAAGCUGAAGUAGAUUGUAAUGCUAUCAUGGCAGUGAUCUUAGUGAAAGGCUGCAUGCAGAUCAAGGUAAUCUUAAAUUACAGAUGUAUUGGAAUUAUGUUUAAGUGAAGUAUUUGUGUAGUGUUGUAAUGAAUAAAAUCAGAUUAAUUA